rnacentral:rRNA from 1 species
AGAGUUUGAUCCUGGCUCAGGACGAACGCUGGCGGCGUGCCUAAUACAUGCAAGUCGAGCGAAUCUUGAGGAGCUUGCUCCUCUUGGUUAGCGGCGGACGGGUGAGUAAACACGUGGGCAACCUGCCUGUAAGACUGGGAUAACUUCGGGAAACCGGAGCUAAUACCGGAUAAUCCUUUUCCUCUCAUGAGGAAAAGCUGAAAGUCGGUUUACGCUGACACUUACAGAUGGGCCCGCGGCGCAUUAGCUAGUUGGUGAGGUAACGGCUCACCAAGGCGACGAUGCGUAGCCGACCUGAGAGGGUGAUCGGCCACACUGGGACUGAGACACGGCCCAGACUCCUACGGGAGGCAGCAGUAGGGAAUCUUCCGCAAUGGACGAAAGUCUGACGGAGCAACGCCGCGUGAGCGAUGAAGGCCUUCGGGUCGUAAAGCUCUGUUGUUAGGGAAGAACAAGUACCGGAGUAACUGCCGGUACCUUGACGUACCUAACCAGAAAGCC